GACGAACGCUGGCGGCGUGCUUAACACAUGCAAGUCGAACGAAGUGGCGAACGGGUGAGUAACGCGUAAUCAACCUGCCCUUCAGAGGGGGACAACAGUUGGAAACGACUGCUAAUACCGCAUACUGAAGGAGGGGAUUGCGUCUGAUUAGCUAGUUGGGGGGGUCACGGCCCACCAAGGCGAUGAUCAGUAGCGGGCAUGCAGGGAUGAACGGGCAGAUGGGGACGUAGACACGGCCCAGAUUCUUACGGGAGGCAGCAGUGGGGAAUCUCCCGCAAUGGACGAAAGUCUGACGGGGCAACGACGCGGGAGUGAUGACGGCCUUCGGGUUGUAACGCUGUGUUAAUCGGGACGCGGUACCGGAAUAGAAAGCCACGGCUAACUACGUGCCAGCCGCCGCGGUAAUAC
rnacentral:rRNA from 1 species